GACAGAGGGUGCAAACGUUGUUCGGAAUUACUGGGCGUAAAGCGCGUGUAGGCGGCCAUCUAAGUCGGGCGUGAAAUCCCACGGCUCAACCGUGGAAGUGCACUCGAAACUGGAUGGCUAGAGUCCUGGAGAGGAAGGUGGAAUGCUUGGUGUAGAGGUGAAAUUCGUAGAUAUCAAGCGGAACACCGGUGGCGAAGGCGGCCUUCUGGACAGUGACUGACGCUGAGGCGCGAAAGCGUGGGGAGCAAACAGG
rnacentral:rRNA from 1 species